rnacentral:rRNA from 1 species
UCGCUUUCUAGUAGCGAAGUUAACGCGUUAAGUUCUCCGCCUGGGGAGUACGGCCGCAAGGUUAAAACUCAAAGAAAUUGACGGGGGCCCGCACAAGCGGUGGAGCAUGUGGUUUAAUUCGAUGCAACGCGAAGAACCUUACCUACCCUUGACAUCCUCGGAACUUGUCAGAGAUGACUUGGUGCCUUCGGGAGCCGGGUGACAGGUGCUGCAUGGCUGUCGUCAGCUCGUGUCGUGAGAUGUUGGGUUAAGUCCCGUAACGAGCGCAACCCUCGUCCUUAGUUGCCAGCGGUUUGCCGGGAACUCUAAGGAGACUGCCAGUGAUAAACUGGAGGAAGGCGGGGAUGAUGUCAAGUCAUCAUGGCCCUUACGGGUAGGGCUACACACGUGCUACAAUGGGCAUUACAAAGGGUUGCCAAACCGCGAGGUGGAGCUAAUCCCAAAAAGCUGCUCGUAGUCCGGAUUGGAGUCUGCAACUCGACUCCAUGAAGCUGGAAUCGCUAGUAAUCGCAAAUCAGAACGUUGCGGUGAAUACGUUCUCGGGCCUUGUACACACCGCCCGUCACACCAUGGGAGU